rnacentral:rRNA from 1 species
UACGGGGGGUGCGAGCGUUGUCCGGAAUCACUGGGCGUAAAGGGCGCGUAGGUGGCCUGAUAAGGGUGUGGUGAAAGUCCGGGGCUUAACCCCAGAUCUGCCGUGCCGACUGUUAGGCUAGAGUGCUGUAGGGGCAGGCGGAAUUCCGGGUGUAGCGGUGGAAUGCGUAGAGAUCCGGAGGAAGACCGGUGGCGAAGGCGGCCUGCUGGGCAGAUACUGACACUGAGGCGCGACAGCGUGGGGAGCAAACAGG